rnacentral:rRNA from 1 species
GUAGUCCACGCUGUAAACGAUGAAUGUUAGUUGUUGGGGGGUUCCCUCUCAGUGACGUAGCUAACGCAUUAAACAUUCCGCCUGGGGAGUACGGCCGCAAGGUUAAAACUCAAAGAAAUUGACGGGGACCCGCACAAGCGGUGGAGCAUGUGGUUUAAUUCGAGGCAACGCGAAGAACCUUACCAGGCCUUGACAUGUCCAGUUUGGAUUCCAGAGAUGGAUUCCUUCACCUCGGGUGGCUGGAACACAGGUGCUGCAUGGCUGUCGUCAGCUCGUGUCGUGAGAUGUUGGGUUAAGUCCCGCAACGAGCGCAACCCUCGUCCUUAGUUGCCAUCAGGUAAUGCUGGGAACUCUAAGGAAACUGCCCGUGAUAAGCGGGA